rnacentral:lncRNA from 1 species
GAAACCAAGCGGAGUGUCCUUUGGAGCCUCUGGACGGUGUGCAGUCGGACAGCUUGGUUUCUGUCUAAUGAAACUCAUUUCAGGCUUCUCACCUCCAGAACUAGCCUGAGAGUGAGGCCUUUGAAUGAUGCCCUGGACAGAGCUUGGAACAUGAAGGUGAAUACUGUUGUGGGGAGAAUGCAUCCCUUUGCCUGGCUCUGAGCCAGGGCCAGCUUUGGAUCCUGCUAGCCCCAUGGAUAUAGAGGUGACAGUACGAAGACUCACAGUAGUGGGGAAGUCCUGUCCUCAAGUCCAUGCAGCUCAGGAGUGGGAGAACUUGGAUCUGAGUGAGCCCUGAUUGUCGCCUUGAGGACCACUGUAUUUUCAGAGCCUUGCCUUGCUUCUCAGAGGUGAGAGCCACCUCCAUUUCAACACGGCCAUUGCUGGAGCUGAGGCAGCCUCCUAGCGCCCCAAGCAGGACAGAUGCUCUUUGGCUCCUUUGGGUUGGGAGCACAGAUAUCAACUGGACAUGAAGGGCUGGGACAGGAGAGAGCCUAUGUGGAGAGGAGGUUCUUCCAGGAGAUGGGAAAAUCUGAAGCCCAGGAAGGGAAAGAAGGAUACCCAAUGACACA